GACAGAGGGUGCAAGCGUUGUUCGGAAUUAUUGGGCGUAAAGGGCGCGUAGGCGGCUUUGUAAGUCAGAUGUGAAAUCCCGGAGCUCAACUCCGGAAGUGCAUCUGAUACUGCAUGGCUUGAGUCCUGGAGAGGGUGGUGGAAUUCCUGGUGUAGAGGUGAAAUUCGUAGAUAUCAGGAGGAACACCAGUGGCGAAGGCGGCUCACUGGUCCGGUACUGACGCUGAGGUGCGAAAGCGUGGGGAGCAAACAGG
rnacentral:rRNA from 1 species